rnacentral:sRNA from 1 species
AUGCCUGCUACGAUUGCUGCUGUGUUCUCAGCCCCAUCAGCCGAUGAUCCUGCAGUACCUGAGCUAAUCGCGCUCU